UGCUCCAGAGGAGGCGGUAGAGAGGUAUAAGGCCUCUGCUGAGUAUACUUGGGACUUAGAGGCAUCUGUGGAGCAAUACAAGUCAUCGUCUGAUUAGAUGAGGGCCUUGCAUUCGUACGAGGGGAAGGCGAUGGCAGCGUCCAUCAAACUAACCAAGGAGUGGAUAUCGAUCGAGCACCCUUCUAUUGACCCCUCAGGUUUUGAUAAGUUCCUUGCGCAGCGCAAGGGGAAGGAGAGCGGGGCGCAGCCAUCUAGGUCACUUGGUCAUUCGUCGCGAGGCAGCAGCGGUGGCGCUUCCCCUUCGAGUUGAAGCAUGGCUUAGUAGCAACAUCUUUUGUUAGUUCCCUCUUUUUUGUGUCGCCUUUUAUUUC
rnacentral:lncRNA from 1 species